CGUCUAUAUACGUAUAGCAUAUCAAUAAGCGGAGGAAAAGAAACUAACUAGGAUUCCCUCAGUAACGGCGAGUGAAGCGGGAAGAGCUCAAAUUUGAAAUCUUCAAGGUUCUACCUUGACGAAUUGUAGUUUAAAUGAAGUGUUUUCUGUUGGAGUUUUGGUAAAAGUUCUUUGGAAUAGGACAUCAUAGAGGGUGAGAAUCCCGUAUUUGACCAUUAUUUCCAACUUUGUGAUACACUUUCAAAGAGUCGGAUUGUUUGGGAAUGCAGUCCAAAAUGGGUGGUAAAUUUCAUCUAAAGCUAAAUAUUGGCGAGAGACCGAUAGCGAACAAGUACCGUGAGGGAAAGAUGAAAAGAACUUUGAAAAGAGAGUUAAACAGUACGUGAAAUUGUCAAAAGGGAAGCGUUUGACACCAGUGUUGUUUUCUCGAAAAUCAAUUAAAAAUGGCAGGAUUUUGUGUUGUAUUGACUUUAUCAGCUUUCUGCACUUUUUUCUUGUCUUUUUUAAUGCACUUUUCGUUUAACAAGUCAACAUCAAUUUCUUUUGUUGUAAAAGGGUCAUUGGAAGGUGGCUUUCUUUUCGGAGAAAGUGUUUAUAGCCUUUGACUUCUGCAGUCGGAGAGAUUGAGGUCUGCAGCGUAGAUCCUUCGGGGUUAGAUACAUUUGUGCUAAGUUAUAGCCUUUCACAGACAACUUGUUGACUAUGAUCAGUCAUGUAGCUUACUCGCUUAUGUUAUUUUACCUACGCUUAGGAUGUUGACGAUCAGCUGAGCGCG
rnacentral:rRNA from 1 species